AUGACAAGUUUGGGUCAAUUGGACGCAGCCCCCGAGUGUCGGGUGUGUCCAAUUACAAGUUUUGGGUCGAUUGGACAUAGCCCCCGAGUGUCGGGUCCGUCCAAUUACAAGUUCUGGGUCGAUUGGACACAGCCCCUAAGUGUCGGGUGCGUCCAAUGACAAGUUUGGGUCGAUUGGACGCAGCCCCGAGUGUCGGGUGCGUCCAAUGACAGGUUUGGUAUCGUUCUCUCAGUUGUGAGUGUGAUGCGAUCGCAACAAAGUAAGUAAAAAGAAAAAGACUCUGAAUAGAGGAGCUUAAAAAUGCAGAAAAAAAAGAGAAUCUAAAAGAAAAGAAAAUCAAGUAAAAAAGCCUGGCGUGUUGGCAGCGCAAUUGCGUGGCGUUCCGCGCCUUGCUUCUUGAGUCCCCGGCUCUGGAUUGGAGUCUGAGGGCGAGGUUUUUGAUUCAAAUUUCCCGUAGUCGAGUUGGCUGAACAGCCAUGUCGAGGCGCGGAUGAGCUCGCAAGUAUGUGUUUGAACUGACUCAUUCUUCGGCAGGCGUCUUCUGAGCUACACUUCAUGGGCUGCGAAGCCGGCUUGGUGUGCUGGUUGCUUUAGUGCGCC
rnacentral:lncRNA from 1 species